rnacentral:sRNA from 1 species
CUUGGUUGCUGGUUGACAAUAGAAGCAGCACCCGCAAAGUCACACGAUCCGCUAGCCCGACCGGUGGUCUGGUAAAAAUUGUUGAAUGCAUAGGUCGCGUGUGCCACCUUAGUGUCAGGAUCAAAGCACUGUGCACCUGGUUGAAUGGCGCUGCAGUCCGCACAGCUACCACAUGCAUAGUCUAGUGCAUUUUGCAGCCGUGCGUCCCCGACCUCCGAUUUCGCAACACACCAACUUGGUCCGCGCCGUUACCGCACGCAAAGUCCAACGCUGACUGCAAUGCUGCACUCCCAACAUCUGCUCUCGCCACACACCAACUCGUCUUUGUAGGACAAGCUCCGCCACCGCCACCGCCCCGAAAGUCAACCUCAUACACCUUCUGACCAUUUGGGUAGAACAAGCCAAAGUUUCUCUCUAUGGUUGGUCCAGGCUUCUCGUUUUCAUUGAAAAGAGAGAAAAUGUAGGCGGAGACGUCACGCAUACCGGAGGCUCCGG